UACGGAGGGGGCUAGCGUUGUUCGGAAUUACUGGGCGUAAAGCGCACGUAGGCGGACUGGAAAGUUGGGGGUGAAAUCCCGGGGCUCAACCCCGGAACUGCCCUCAAAACUUUCAGUCUGGAGUCCGAGAGAGGUGAGUGGAAUUCCGAGUGUAGAGGUGAAAUUCGUAGAUAUUCGGAGGAACACCAGCGGCGAAGGCGGCUCACUGGCUCGGUACUGACGCUGAGGUGCGAAAGCGUGGGGAGCAAACAGGAUUAGAUACCCGGGUAGUCCCUGAGCGGGCUGG
rnacentral:rRNA from 1 species